rnacentral:rRNA from 1 species
AACCAAUCAGGGGAUUGCCCUAGUAACGGCGAGUGAAGCGCAACAGCUCAAAUUUGAAAUCUGGCUCUCGGGCCCGAGUUGUAAUUUGUAGAGGAUACUUUUGAUGCGGUGCCUUCCGAGUUCCCUGGAACGGGACGCCAUAGAGGGUGAGAGCCCCGUCUGGUUGGAUGCCAAAUCUCUGUAAAGUUCCUUCGACGAGUCGAGUAGUUUGGGAAUGCUGCUCUAAAUGGGAGGUAUAUGUCUUCUAAAGCUAAAUACCGGCCAGAGACCGAUAGCGCACAAGUAGAGUGAUCGAAAGAUGAAAAGCACUUUGAAAAGAGAGUUAAAAAGUACGUGAAAUUGUUGAAAGGGAAGCGUUUAUGACCAGACUUGGGCUUGGUUAAUCAUCUGGGGUUCUCCCCAGUGCACUUUUCCAGUCCAGGCCAGCAUCAGUUUUCCCCGGGGGAUAAAGACUUCGGGAAUGUGGCUCUCUUCGGGGAGUGUUAUAGCCCGUUGUGUAAUACCCUGGGGGGGACUGAGGUUCGCGCAUCUGCAAGGAUGCUGGCGUAAUGGUCAUCAACGACCCGUCUUGAAACACGGACCAAGGAGUCGUCUUCGUAUGCGAGUGUUCGGGUGUCAAACCCCUACGCGUAAUGCAAGUGAACGCAGGUGAGAGCUUCGGCGCAUCAUCGACCGAUCCUGAUGUUCUCGGAUGGAUUUGAGUAAGAGCAUACGGGGCCGGACCCGAAAGAAGGUGAACUAUGCCUGUAUAGCGUGAAGCCAGAGGAAACUCUGGUGGAGGCUCGCAGCGGUUCUGACGUGCAAAUCGAUCGUCAAAUAUGGGCAUGGGGGCUAAAGACUAAUCGAACCUUCUAGGAGCUGGUUUCGC